UACAGAGGUCUCAAGCGUUGUUCGGAUUCAUUGGGCGUAAAGGGUGCGUAGGUGGCAUGGUAAGUCGGAUGUGAAAUCCCGGGGCUCAACCCCGGAACUGCAUUCGAUACUGCUGCGCUAGAGUACUGGAGAGGAGAUUGGAAUUUACGGUGUAGCAGUGAAAUGCGUAGAUAUCGUGAGGAAGACCAGUGGCGAAGGCGGAUCUCUGGACAGUUACUGACACUGAGGCACGAAGGCCAGGGGAGCAAACGGG
rnacentral:rRNA from 1 species